GUCAACCCCAGUUCGUCCAGAGACACAGUACUCUCUCCGUCACUGAAAGCACGCCUUGGGUAAGGUCUUACCAAUCUAUAUGUGCCGGGCUUGAUCACUCUGCCGAUAUCAAUGUAAUCGAAAAGGGACUGUAAUCUAUCAGAUUUGAGAAAGCGCCGGCCUCUGCGGCUGCCAUCAGGCAUACGCACAACGAGAUUCACAGCAUUCUCAUUAUCUGCUGUGGGCUCCUGAGGAAGGGAAGCUUCUUUUGCUGCUAGUUGUCUCUCCAUUUCCUUUUCCUCCUCUGCUUUCCUUCGUAAUUCCUCCUCCUCCAGUCUCUUCUCUUCAAGUGCAGCUUCAGCUUCUUGCUUCGCCUUCAAUUCCUUUUCUCUAUCAGCUUGCAAUGCAGCAUGAUAUUCAUCAUCCUGCUGUUCCCGAAGUAAACGCUGUGCCACAAGAGACGGAGAUGGGGCACGAGGCAUGCGCCAUUGAUAGGGGCCCAUAGGUCCAUCAGCACCAUUCUGAAUAGGCUGACGAGGUGCAGAUGGCAAUCGGUAUCCAGUACCCUCAGGUAUUCCACCAAAUAUUGCAGCUUCAAGCAUGACAGCUUCAUCAUGC
rnacentral:misc_RNA from 1 species